rnacentral:misc_RNA from 1 species
AUUGUGUUACGGGGGCCGACUUGAAUUGUGAAUAUCUCCUCGCGAGCGGCCCAUCUAUGGGAGGAACGCCUCCCAAGCUGCGCCCGUCCAAUUCUCUCCGCCCUGUCUGGACCCGUGCUUUUUGCGUACCACUGUUUCCUCGGCAGGCUUGCCUGCCAGUAGGACCUUUUUAAACCUUUUGCAGUUGCAGUCAGCGUCAGAAAAACAUAAUCGUUA